CUAGGUUUAGCUCUUUUUCAAGUCCUAGAGAUUCAUGAACUGAGAAAAAUUCGUAGCAUUUUUGUUGUGUUUUGGAGUGGGAAUGGAGACCCAAAUCCUCCUUCUGUCCUUCGGGAUUCUUAUUUUGUGUCUAUGAUUUUCGCUGUCCAAGUUCAUCGUUUUUUUCCCUUUUUCGUUCUUUGCUAUGAUCUGAAUUUUCCAGGGUUUGAGUUAAUUCCAAGCAAUGAUUUUUGGGGAAUAGCUUCCUUCUAAGGUGAAUUUAGCCUGUGCAAAGUUUGGGAGCGAUUCAUGGAGUUUUGAUAUGGAUUUCGUCGAAUUUUGGGUCGCCCCUUUCUUGCUGAGUUCUUCGAGCCUCUCUGUUCUAACGCUACCAGCGCCGGUGUUUGACGCACCGAUCGUGCUCUUCUGAGCAGCGACUGACGGGCUUGUUUUUCUCUCUUUGCUGUGUCGUUGGAUUUCCCUGGAAUUAGCGCUGCUCCGUUCUUGUCAGUCCAUCCAUUUUUGUUCGUCGGUCUCAGGUGCACGCACGGGGAACAGGACCGUCGAAGCUGGCGCUCGCCCGUGGCUCCCAGUGCCUGAGCACGAGCAGACCCGUGCUCCUCCUAGCUUCUCUCAGGUGCUAGUUUUGUUUUUGGUUAGGCUUUCCACUGAUCUCCGGUGCAAUCCAGCCAGAUUCCAGUACUGAGUAUGAUUGGUCACUCGUUGCCUGCUGUAUGUUCUGACCAAAUUUUUCCAGCUUGUGUUUGUUACGGUUCAACAGGUAUCAAGCAGUGCUUGAGUGGCUCUUGCAGUUCAAUUGUUUCAGGGUGUUCUUGUUCCAGGAGCUUGUGCCCACAGAACAUCAAUUUCAGGAGUAGCAUCUCAUGUGUUUGAUUUCUUCCUCUGCUUUCUGGAUUUAUUUUUUGUCUAGCUCUAAGCAGUUUAUCCAUGGAGACAUGUACGUAGGUUUUUGUUCGCUGUGUGUUGCUCGCCCAGCACCAAAGCAGGUGCUCGCCCGAGGAGCCUAAAUGGCUAGUCUGUGUGUGCUCAGCUUCGUGAAGAGCAGUUUGCUAUCAGCUUUCUAGCAGCUUGUGAAUUUGGUGAUCGUAUUUUGAGUUGUCACUCUUAUCUACACAAAGCACUCUGUAAAUUUUUUAGGGGAUUUUCUGUCAAUUUUUUUCUGGCCUCGAUUCAGUGUUUUGCAUCUGAUUUUGUCGUUUGAGCUCUGAAUCGUGUCUCGUCUGUUGCGAUGCUCUUCUGCCGUUCUAAAGAAUUGUUCUAGGUACUUUUGUCACAAGUUGACUAGAGUAUUUUGGUCUUAGCAAGUUGCUUGUGUUUGGCGGUGAUUUUGGGACAGUGGCAAAAUAUUUUCGAGAGAAAAUUUGAGGCUCCCAUUCACACCCCCCCCCUCUGGUCGCCGUUUUCGGUCCUUCAAUUGGUAUCAGAGCCGGUUAAGGAUCAUUCCACCUUAAUCGGUCCGUGAUCCACGAAGGCGACAUGGAGCGUGGUUCCGGUAAACCACCGUUCUUCGAUGGAACAAAUUAUCCCUAUUGGAAAAUACGCAUGUCUGCCCAUCUCCAGGGGAUUGAUUGGUUAGUUUGGGAAAUUUGCGAGGAUGCUACUUUCGUUGUGCUUGAACCCCGUGCUCGAACCACGCAAGAUCAAAAAGAUCGGCACAACGCAAAUAGCAGAGCAAGAUCUGUUCUUUUCUCGAGUCUUUCGCUUCCUGAGUUCGAGCGUGUCUCUGAUUGUGCUACUGCUCGAGAGAUCUGGGUGAGGCUUCAGAGCUAUCACGAGGGUACAGCCCAUGUCAAAACCAGACUCUAUGAGACGUACAAGAGAGAGUACGAGAACUUCACUCAGCUUGAUGGCGAGUUCAUCGAUGCCAUGUUUUCUCAUUUUCAGACGAUCAUUAACAAGAUGAGAGCAAACAAGGCACAACUACCUUAUGAUGAUCAUGAGAGGGCUCUCAAGCUUUUAUAUGCCCUAGAUCGGAAGGUAUGGGAUGUGAAGGUGUCCGCCAUUAUCGAGUCUUCGAACUACGACACCAUCACUGUGGACGAGCUGUUCAGCAAGCUCAAGUCCACCGAGAUCGACUACCAAACUCAAGCCAAACUCAAGAAUCCCUCUGCACCGACUAUGGCUUUAGUCUUAGGUAACAAUUCAAGUUCUUCAGCUAACCCUUCACAGAUGUCGUUUGCCUUGUCUUCUUUGGUGUCUGUUUCAGAGGAGCAGUUGGAGACCCUUGGGGAUGACGAGCUGGCGUUGAUCAUCAGCCGGUUCUCGCGGUUCCACAACAACCGCUUGAACCGCCGCCGGGGCGGUGAUCAAAAGGUGGGCUGCUACAACUGUGGAGAUCUCGACCACUUCGUCGCCCACUGCCCCAAGAAGAACAAUCACUCCUCCGACAAGUACGACUCCGACAAGCGCAAGGAGAAGCACGACUACACCUCCAAGAAGCACAAGUCGAAGAAGGGCUUCGACAAGGAGGCGCUCAAGAAGAUGUACCGCAAGAAAGCCAAGGCGCAAGAGCGUGCCUUCCUUGCUUCCCUCAGCGACCUCGACAACGACUCCGGCGAUGACCGCUCCUCUUCUCCCUCGAGUGACGAUGAGUCCGAGAGGAAGAUGGAGGAGAAGCUGACUGGUCUUUGCUUCGUCGCCGACUCCACUCACGGAGGCUUCUGCACCAUGGCGCUUGAUGAAGAGGUGAAGGCCAGCAAGGAUGAGGUCUCCUUCGACGACGACACCUCCGAGGUACCUCCUUCUGUCGAUGACCUUGUCGCUGAGCUUGAUAGCAUGAAUAUCACCUUGAUUAGUCAAGAUAAAUUGCUUAAGCGUGCUGCCCGUGAGAGGAAGGAGUUUAAGGACAAGCUAGAGUUGGCGCUUAAGGAGCUUGAGGUUGCUAAGGAGUGUGCUGUGGUUGUGUCAGAUGAAGUAGAGUGCGAUGAGUGUGUUGUUCAUAUGUCUAACUUCUCUGAGUUACAAUCUAAGUAUGCUACUUUGCUUGAUGAGUAUGGUGAGCUGAAGGCUAGGCCUGUCUUGUUGGGUGCGUGCAAGUCCUGCUCGGGCUUGCAAUCUGAGCUGGCAGAGAAGAAUGCCAAGAUCUCUAUUCUUGAGAAGGCCAGUUCAGAUAGCACUAUAGCUAAGUGUGCGGGGAACUUGCACAUCGGGUGUAGGCUUUGCUAUAGGUGGGAAGGGUGAUAAUCUUUAUGGCAAGGUUGGUGAGUUUAGUGGUUUGAGCCCAAGUGAGAAACCAUCCACUACUCCCAAGUUGAUCAAAUUCACUCCACCUGAGCCUUCCAAACCCACUGUCAAAGAUGGAGUGUUUGAAGAACCUCCAAAAUCCCCACCUCAGAAACAAGUGUGGAUUCCAAAACGUAACCAUCUCAGGAACCCACUUGACACUCUACCAAACAUCUCUGAGGAUCCCCUUCCUAAAGCCAAAAAGCCACCAAGAGUGAACCAUACCCACAAGAGAGUGAACCAACAACCACCCAAGAGAGAGGUAAGGUAUCACUGUGAGUAUUGCCAUAGGGAUGGUCACCUUGUGGAGUUUUGCUUUAGGAGGAAGAGAGAUGAGCGGUGAGAGUACGAGUUGAACAACCGGAACAUGUACCGCCCACCCCAUGGCGUACAUGUGCCGCCUGUUCAGAGGCGCAGUGCUAGGCCUAGAGGUGCAAUGCCUCAAGGUGCUAGGCCUCAGCUUGCGAGACCACGUGGUGGUCGUGCCCGACGUGGUUCAGGUCAUGAUCAAUAUGACUUUGAACCUCGUGGCGGUGGCUUUGCUUCUCAGUCCCACAGCUCUAGCGGACCACGUUUUCCCUUUCGUGGUGAUCAAUUUCCUCAAAUGGGACAUGGUAUGCUUGGUGUUUUUCCUAACACUUUUCUAGGGCAAAUGACCCAACACUGGUAUCCUUCACAGUUUACUAACCCCAGUGUUGCGCCAUUUGCUCACCCCAUGUCUUUCUAUUGAUGCAGAUUGGAGGCCUGGAGAACACGUGGCUUGUUGAUUCCGGUUGUUCGCGCCACAUGACCGGAAGUUCAAAAUGGUUCUCCAGCCUCGACCCCGUGCAAUGUAAGGAAUACAUCACAUUCGGGGACAAUAGCAAAGGUAAGGUGUUUUCUCGUGGGACCAUUCGAGUCAAUGAGAGUUUUGUCUUGAAGGAUGUUGCUUUGGUUUCAAAUUUGCAUUUCAAUUUGCUUUCGGUUUCGCAACUCCUUCAGGAUGGUUUUGAGGUGCGCUUUAAGACUGGCUUGUCUCGAGUUCUUGAUUCUCAGGGAAAUCUUGUUUGCAAGAUUGUCCCUUUUGGCCGUGUCUUUCGAGCUGAUUUUUCUCACUCUUUUGGCUCUUCUCGUUGUCUUGUGGCCGGAUCCUCUUCUGAUCUUUGGAAGUGGCAUAGGAGACUUGGUCAUUUGAGCUUUGACUUACUAGCUAGGUUGAGCUCACUUGACUUAAUCCGAGGAUUGCCCAAAUUGAAAUUUGAGAAGGAUUUGGUUUGUCACCCCUGUCGUCAUGGGAAGAUGCUUGCCGCUUCUCACCCUCCUGUGACUCAGGUCAUGACCAAGGGACCCGGUGAGCUACUUCAUAUGGACACAGUUGGUUCGGCUCGGGUUCGGUCAGAGGGAGGGAAGUGGUAUGUUCUAGUGAUUGUGGAUGACUUUUCUCGCUACUCUUGGGUGUUUUUCCUGGAGGGUAAGGAUGAGGCUUUUUCUCAUGUUCGAGAUUUGAUUCUUCGGUUACAAACUGAGUUGCCUAAGAAUGCCAUGAGAGCUAUACGCAGUGACAAUGGCACAAAAUUCAAAAACACUCAGUUUGAUACUUUGUGUGCUUCUUUGGGUCUCGAGCACCAGUUUUCCUCUCCUUAUGUUCCCCAGCAAAAUGGUGUUGUUGAGCGCAAAAAUCAGACCCUUGUUGAGAUGGCCAAGACGAUGCUCGAUGAGCAUAGGACUCCUAGGAGAUAUUGGGCCGAGGCGAUCAACACCGCCUGUCAUGUCUCCAAUCGCAUUUUUCUUCGAGCCUUCUUGAAAAAGACUUCUUAUGAGUUGCGAUUUGGUAGACUACCCAAGGUAAGUCACUUCAGGGUGUUUGGUUGCAAGUGUUUCAUCCUGAAGCAAGGUAAUUUGGACAAAUUUGAGUCCAGGUCCUCCGACGGUAUUUUUCUUGGUUAUGCUUCUCAUUCUCAUGCAUAUCGUGUACUUAACCUUGAAACUAACCGAGUCGUGGAGACCUGUGAGGUCACAUUCGAUGAGACUAUGCCUUGUUCUUCUCCUGUCUUUGAAUGUGCAGGUGAUCAGGAGAUUGGUGAGAGCAUCUUUGUUGAGGACGAUGCAGAAGAUGCUGAUUGGGGUGAUCCCGAGCCGACACCACUGGCUGCCCCUCUCGCGUCUUCGACGACUACUUCGGCUGACGGUCCUGAUCCUUCCUCUUCCACUACUUGGGGUCCGAUCGAGAAGCCUCCUCAGUCUACACUGGCUGUCCCUGAGGAGGCCCCAGCUGCAGUUGAGGGGGAGGCGACUUCUUCAAGGGAAGCACCUCGACACAUUCAGCGUCGCCAUUCACCUCAGACCAUGAUUGGUGAAAUUGACCAGCGAGUCACGCGGUCCAGGUCAUAUCACAUCUCACACUUUGCUCAUUCUGCUUUUGUUGCUUCUUUUGAGCCUCGAGAUGUUGGACAUGCACUAUCUAAUUUCGAUUGGGUUAAUGCUAUGCAUGAGGAGCUAGAAAAUUUUGAGAGAAACAAGGUUUAGGUUUUAGUACCACUUCCACCAGAUUGCCAUCCCAUAGGUACCAAGUGGGUUUUCAAAAACAAACAGAGUGAAGAUGGGGUGGUAGUGAGGAACAAGGCUAGGUUGGUAGCUCAGGGUUUUUGUCAGAAAUAGGGGAUAGACUAUGAGGAAACCUUUGCUCCUGUUGCCCGUCUAGAAGCCAUUAGGAUCCUUUUAGCCUUUGCAGCUUCAAAAGGGUUCAAGCUGUAUCAGAUGCAUGUGAAGAGUGCUUUCUUGAAUGGGUAUAUAGAGGAAGAUGUCUAUGUGAGACAACCCCCUGGCUUUGAAAAUCCUAAGUUUCCUAACCAUGUCUUUAAACUCCACAAAGCCUUGUAUGGUCUACAGCAAGCCCCAAGAGCCUGGUAUGAGCGUUUGAAAGCCUUCUUGCUUGCAAAGGGUUUUAAAAUGGGUUCUGUUGAUAAAACUUUGUUUCUCCUCAAGCAAGGCACUGACACUCUUUUGGUUCAGAUAUACGUGGAUGAUAUCAUUUUCGGUGGCUCUUCUCAUGCACUUGUUGGCAAGUUUGCAGAAACUAUGAGCAAGGAAUUUGAGAUGAGCAUGAUGGGCGAGUUGACGUUCUUUCUUGGUUUGCAAAUCAAGCAAACUAGAGAAGGGACAUUUGUGCACCAAGGCAAGUACACCAAGGACGUACUCAAGAAAUUCGAUAUGGGCGAGGCCAAGCCUCUCUCGACGCCCAUGUCAACCACGACGGCCCUGGAUGCAGAUGAAGAAGGAGAAGCUGUGGACCAGAAGGAGUACCGAAGCAUGAUCGGGUCACUGCUGUACCUGACGGCGACAAGACCUGACAUCCAGUUCGCGGUCUGCUUGUGUGCGCGCUUUCAGUCUUCGCCGCGCACAUCUCAUCGUCAAGCCGUCAAGCGGAUCUUGAGGUACCUUCGUUUCACACCUGAGUUUGGUCUUUGGUUUUCAGCUUCCUCCUCUCUUUCUCUUUGCGGCUAUUCUGAUGCGGAUUAUGCCGGCUGCCGUGUUGAGCGCAAGUCCACGUCGGGGACUUGCCAGUUUCUUGGGACUUCUCUUGUGUCUUGGUCCUCUCGCAAGCAAUCCUCUGUUGCUCAAUCCACCACAGAAGCCGAGUAUGUUGCUGUUGCUGCUUGCUGCUCCCAGUUGCUUUGGAUGAUAGCUACUUUGAGAGACUUUGGGUUAGAGUUUAGGCGAGUGCCUUUGCUUUGUGAUAGCACCAGUGCCAUAAGCGUUGCUAAAAACCCAGUUCUCCACUCAAAAACCAAGCAUAUAGAUGUCCGCUUUCACUUCCUGCGUGAUCACUAUGAGAAAGGUGAUACUGACCUACACCAUGUUGAUACCCAAAAUCAGCUUGCAGACAUCUUUACCAAACCCCUUGACCAAGCCCAGUUUGCUCGCUUGCGAGGGGAGCUUGGAGUUUGUUUCCCUUUUUAGCUGAGGGGAACUUUGGUUUUUGUACUCUAGUUUUGUUUUCUUUUAGUUUAUCUUUUAUUUUUUUUGUACCAUAUUGUAUUGCAUUUCAUCUCAUCAUGUAUAUUAGAGCAUUUUGAGCUUCAUGAUUAUAGUUGUUAGAUUGAGAUUAUGCUCUUUGUGAUAUGUUUUGUAUGUACAUGAUGGUGCUUGUCGCUUAGGCUCUUUUUGAUCACUUGAUGCAUGUUAUGAGCUAAGCUGUUUUACAACUUGUGAACUUGACAUAGACCUGUUGAAACCUGAAAAUUGUUCACCAUUGUCUUUGGCAACUAGCAUGUGUAGGAUGUGUUGAGAUCACUUGUGCUAUCAUUUAUAUGCUAGGUUGCUAUGUCUCAUGCUUUGAGUUAUACACUUGCUUGGACAACUUGUAAAUUCUUGUGCUAAAAAAUUGAAAAUCAAGCUAAGUGAAAAGAAAAGAUCGAGAUGGGUCUGUACUGUCCUACGUCAAGGUAUCGAGACUGCUUCCAAUUGCACUUAUGGAUGAACUUGAGCCUUGUAGUGGAUGCCAAGAUCAUUGUCUUAAGCUUGCGAUUGUCAAUGACAUAGGCUUGGCAUGGUCGAUAAGUUGGUUUGAUGGUACAGAUAACCUCUCGCACCCACACAUGUUUUUUGACUAAACCUUGUGAUAUGCUGCAAACUCCGAUAAAAUGAAAUUUGAUGAAAACACAAGUCUAAAGUUAGUCUUUGACAUGAUGUAUGAACGCUGCUUGGGGUAGUUCACCUUGUAUACACUUGUUAGCACUAGGUUGAUUUCCUGCUUAUACCUGCUAUGUGCUACUUUCAGUGGUGAACUUCUUCUUACAAUUGCUUAAAAUUGAUCAAAAAUACUUAAAUGUCAUAUUUCGUUUCACUUGAUCAGUUUGAGCAUUUGCUAGCACUUGUACUUAUUGCUAUACACACAUGACAACACCACCUAGAGCAUCUUUUCAAUCUGAUUGCUAUACCCCUGAAGCUUUUAUAUAUGUGCAUUCUUUGCAUUCAUAGCAUGUUUUGAGGGGGAGUUGCACUCCUUGGGCAAAUCUUGAUAAGUGCAUGUGUCAACAAGGGGGAGAAAGUUACACACAAAAAGAGAGACAUGCAUUCAUUUGAGAGAGAUUGCAUUUGCUGAGGGGGAGUUGCAUUUGAGUUGCUUUUGCUAGAUGUGUUGAGCCUUUGCCUCUUCUGGAGGGUCCAGUUGUUUUCUGGCUUUUCAAGCUUUGCUAGCGGUGUUGAGCCUGUUUGCCUCUUCUUGAGGGCUAGCUUUGUUUUACUUGGUUGUGUCGAGCCGUUGCCCAUGUAUUUGGGGACCAAGUUGUUGGCUUUGCUUUACUCAUUGUGAGUGACCUGUUUCGAGCUUACACUUGAGUUGGUUUUCUCUGGCUUUGUGUUGGUGUUGACAAUGCACUCAUCAAGGGGGAGAUUGCGAACACAUGGUUUUUACAUAACCAUUGUGGAGCACCCUUGUUGUAUGAUGAGCGAUUGUCAACAUGCCAAUAUUUUGGUGGGUUGUUGGUUUGGUGGUUCUACUGAUAUCCUGGCACAGGGUUAUGUGUCGAAACGGUGUCUCUUGGCUUCGUGAUGUGCAGGUGUGGAGUCUGGAUGCGGUGGCAGCGGUCGGGUGAAGGUCAAGUAGGGCGUGCCGUGCUGACGGACCGGUUGCGGUGAAGGGCGGACGUGAGGCUUGGACUGACGGACUAGACGACCGGGUGGCCAGCUGCGGUGGCUGACACUUGGGACAUCAAUAAGCGCAAGUGUACACAGCGGGGGACGCGUACGGGCUACGCUACUCGCGGCGGGUUUUGCGGGUUUGGGCCUCAAAACCCGGACGGAGGUCCCGAUGCGGACGGAUGGCACGUGGCGGCAUCGGUGAGAUCGCUUCGGAGCGAGGCUACCAGUGAAGAGGCGCGGUGGCCGUCGGAUUUAGGUCAUGUCGAGUUGGACUAGAAUGCCCUUGGGGCUAGCUAGUUCGCUCAAAAAUAUCUAGGGACAUUUGGAGAAUAUGUAAUAUGCCAGAUAAAUAAACCGGGGGAGUUCCCCAUCUCCCUAACCUCUCCACCUAUCUCUCACGCCACCUCUCUGCUAACUGGUAGUUUUUCCUUUCUCUCUAGGUUUAGCUCUUUUUCAAGUCCUAGAGAUUCAUGAACUGAGAAAAAUUCGUAGCAUUUUUGUUGUGUUUUGGAGUGGGAAUGGAGACCCAAAUCCUCCUUCUGUCCUUCGGGAUUCUUAUUUUGUGUCUAUGAUUUUCGCUGUCCAAGUUCAUCGUUUUUUUCCCUUUUUCGUUCUUUGCUAUGAUCUGAACUUUCCAGGGUUUGAGUUAAUUCCAAGCAAUGAUUUUUGGAGAAUAGCUUCCUUCUAAGGUGAAUUUAGCCUGUGCAAAGUUUGGGAGCGAUUCAUGUAGUUUUGAUAUGGAUUUCGUCGAAUUUUGGGUCGCCCCUUUCUUGCUGAGUUCUUCGAGCCUCUCUGUUCUAACGCUACCAGCGCCGGUGUUUGACGCACCGAUCGUGCUCUUCUGAGCAGCGACUGACGGGCUUGUUUUUCUCUCUUUGCUGUCUCGUUGGAUUUCCCUGGAAUUAGCGUUGCUCCGUUCUUGUCAGUCCAUCCAUUUUUGUUCGUCGGUCUCAGGUGCACGCACGGGGAGCAGGACCGUUUGAGCUGGCGCUCGCCCGUGGCUCCCAGUGCCUGAGCACGAGCAGACCCGUGCUCCUCCUAGCUUCUCUCAGGUGCUAGUUUUGUUUUUGGUUAGGCUUUCCACUGAUCUCCGGUGCAAUCCAGCCAGAUUCCAGUACUGAGUAGGAUUGGUCACUCGUUGCCUGCUGUAUGUUCUGACCAAAUUUUUCCAGCUUGUGUUUGUUACGGUUCAACAGGUAUCAAGCAGUGCUUGAGUGGCUCUUGCAGUUCAAUUGUUUCAGGGUGUUCUUGUUCCAGGAGCUUGUGCCCACAGAACAUCAAUUUCAGGAGUAGCAUCUCAUGUGUUUGAUUUCUACCUCUGCUUCCUGGAUUUAUUUUUUGUCUAGCUCUAAGCAGUUUAUCCAUGGAGACAUGUACGUAGGUUUUUGUUCGCUGUGUGUUGCUCGCCCAGCACCAAAGCAGGUGCUCGCCCGAGGAGCCUAAAUGGCUAGUCUGUGUGUGCUCAGCUUCGUGAAGAGCAGUUUGCUAUCAGCUUUCUAGCAGCUUGUGAAUUUGGUGAUCGUAUUUUGAGUUGUCACUCUUAUCUACAGGAAGCACUCUGUAAAUAUUUUAGGGGUUUUUCUAUCAAUUUUUUUUCUGGCCU
rnacentral:lncRNA from 1 species